rnacentral:rRNA from 1 species
UGGUGGUGGCCUAACACAUGCAGUUGAACGGUAACAGGAAGUGCUUGCACUUCGCUGACGAGUGGCGGACGGGUGAGUAAUGCUUGGGAACUUGCCUUUGUGAGGGGGAUAACAGUUGGAAACGACUGCUAAUACCGCAUAAUGUCUACGGACCAAACGGGGCUUCGGCUCCGGCGCAAAGAGAGGCCCAAGUGAGAUUAGCUAGUUGGUAAGGUAAAGGCUUACCAAGGCAACGAUCUCUGGCUGUUCUGAGAGGAAGAUCAGCCACACUGGAACUGAGACACGGUCCAGACUCCUACGGGAGGCAGCAGUGGGGAAUAUUGCACAAUGGGGGAAACCCUGAUGCAGCCAUGCCGCGUGUGUGAAGAAGGCCUUCGGGUUGUAAAGCACCUUCAGUUGUGAGGAAAAGUUAGUAGUUAAUACCUGCUAGCCGUGACGUUAACAACAGAAGAAGCACCGGCUAACUCCGUGCCAGCAGCCGCGGUAAUACGGAGGGUGCGAGCGUUAAUCGGAAUUACUGGGCGUAAAGCGCACGCAGGCGGUUUGUUAAGCUAGAUGUGAAAGCCCCGGGCUCAACCUGGGAUGGUCAUUUAGAACUGGCAGACUAGAGUCUUGGAGAGGGGAGUGGAAUUCCAGGUGUAGCGGUGAAAUGCGUAGAUAUCUGGAGGAACAUCAGUGGCGAAGGCGACUCCCUGGCCAAAGACUGACGCUCAUGUGCGAAGGUGUGGGUAGCGAACAGGAUUAGAUACCCUGGUAGUCCACACCGUAACGCUGUCUACUAGCUGUUUGUGACUUUAAGUCGUGAGUAGCGAAGCUAACGCGAUAAGUAGACCGCCUGGGGAGUACGGCCGCAAGGGUUAAAACUCAAAGGAAUUGACGG